rnacentral:rRNA from 1 species
UACGUAGGGUGCAAGCGUUGUCCGGAAUUAUUGGGCGUAAAGGGCUCGUAGGCGGUUUGUCGCGUCGGGAGUGAAAACCUUGGGCUUAACUCAGGGCUUGCUUUCGAUACGGGCAGACUAGAGGUAUGCAGGGGAGAACGGAAUUCCUGGUGUAGCGGUGAAAUGCGCAGAUAUCAGGAAGAACACCCGUGGCGAAGGCGGCUCUCUGGGACGGUACUGACGCUGAGACGCGAAAGCGUGGGGAGCGAACAGG